CGGACGACGCUGGCGGCGUGCUUAAAACAUGCAAGUCGAACGGACUUCUCAUGAAGCUUGCGAUUGAGAAGUUAGUGGCGGACGGGUGAGUAACGCGUGGGCAACCUGCCCCUGAGCCCGGGAUAACAGUUCGAAAGGACUGCUAAGACCGGAUAUACUUGCGGUGAAGCAUUUCACUGCAAGGAAAGGGAACGCUCAGGGAUGGGCCCGCGUCCCAUUAGCUAGUUGGUGAGGUAACGGCCCACCAAGGCGACGAUGGGUAGCCGGCCUGAGAGGGUGAACGGCCACACUGGGACUGAGACACGGCCCAGACUCCUACGGGAGGCAGCAGUUGGGAAUCUUCGGCAAUGGGCGCAAGCCUGACCGAGCAACGCCGCGUGAGUGAUGAAGGUUUUCGGAUUGUAAAGCUCUGUCUUCCGGGACGAUAAUGACGGUACCGGAGGAGGAAGCCACGGCUAACUACGUG
rnacentral:rRNA from 1 species